CACAUUUUUUUUUUUUUUUACAAAGAAACAAAGUUGGUGAUUUAAUACUAUUAUUAUUAUUAAAAAUAAACAAUCCUCCAAAAAUUAUUCUGAACUGCCGCCAUGGGUGAGUUAAAAAGUCACAUGAUCUAGAGAACAAGAGUUCCCCCACCAGUGAGCAAACAGCAGGUUGCCAGGACACCAACGCGGAGAAGCAGGGUUUGCCAAGAGGAUAAACAGCAGCAGGUCACCCAGGGAACCAGGACAACAUGCGAGUCUGGAGUGAGCUGCAGAACGUGAAUUCUCUACUACUGUGACAUCUGGGAAGCUGCCUGGAAAUGGAUAUACUGGUAGAGUCUCUUGGUGAUACUGUGGAGCCGAGAAAAGUAUACCAGAAACAAGGAGGUCAAGGAAGUAGGAGGCAGGAAACUCAUAAGAAUUAACAAGCCUAUCACGUGGACUCACUAAAUCUGCCAUACUUCGUGCUCCUGUCAGAUGUUAUUAGCACAAGGAAGAAGCAAUGCAUUCAGUAUAAGAAAACAUCUUCUCAGCCUGUCUUUAGCACAAAUUCAAACAUUCUUUCAAUGUGUAUGUCUGUGAAGAAGGAGCCCAUCAAAAUCCACUGGGAAGUUUGAAGGACGCUGGACACUGAUGUUAAAGGGGAUUACACUAAAGCAGACAUCCUGAGUAGUCAGUAAAAACAAAGCAAGAAACUACAGAAAGCAUUUGUAAAAAAUAUGGAAUGAAGAUGUGAUGGCUGAAGCAUGUGCAGCCACAUUGGACCAUGAGGUGAAAAUCCCAUACUUAGGAUGGCAGAGUGACAUCACAAAAGAUGGCAAAGUCCUUGAUACUACAGAGGUGCCACAGCAGCAUGGACCUCUACACAAGGUAGAAAUAAAAUCUAUUUUCUUUCA